GCGAUAGUGGAAUAUUAUAUUUUUACGAGCAAGUACUGAGUCGCAAAUGCGGACAUGUAAGUUAAUAGUUAAUGAAUUUACGCGAGCCGUGUUAAGUGAACAUAAGUCCGUUAAGUUAGAAGACUGUCGAUGAAUAGUAAUGAAUUGUUAUUGUGCCAAGAUAAUGGAUUUUCGUCAAUUGUGUAAGUUUUCCCGUCAAAGGAGGAAUUGAACGGGCCGAUUUCUUUAAACACGCUGAACGCUGUACUGGCACCAGGGCCACCUUCCAGCCAUAAAAUUAACGGUGCUUCUGUUUCGUGUAUACGGUUACCGUGGCGGGGAAGAACCAGAAGAACAGAUUGGAGUUGUGUUGGUCGUCGACCGUGAAGUAACCGGAGUAGCUGACCACGUGUUGCGGCCGGUACACUUCGGUCACCCGGGCCAGUUGCUUGGCCCUGAGUAUGUUGCCGUUGCGCAGGUACGGCGUGAGCAGCAGCGGCUCGGCGGCCGAAUG